UCCUGCUCAAUGAUUUUUAAAUAGCCGCAGUACCCUGACUGUGCAAAGGUAGCAUAAUCAGUUGGCUUCUAAUUGGGGUCUGGCAUGAACGGAUUUCUGGAAAAUAGCUGUAUCUUAUUUAUUUUUCCGAAAUUAGUUUGUAAGUGAAAAUACUUACACUUUUAGAGAGGACGAGAAGACCCUAGAAAUUUUUUCUAUUUUGUUGGGGCGACAGAAUUACAAGUAAACUAAUUUGCGUUAACGUGGCGUUAGUACAGUCCGAUUAAAUUACUCUAGGGAUAACAGCAUAAUUUAAUUAGUUUGUGACCUCGAUGUUGGACUAGGACAUUAACGGUUUAGAAGACCUUUAAUAGUGCUCUGUUCGAGGCAGCGUUUCCUACGUGAUCUGAUUUCAGACCGGA
rnacentral:rRNA from 1 species